UACGGAGGGUGCAAGCGUUAUCCGGAAUCACUGGGUUUAAAGGGUGCGUAGGCGGCUUUAUAAGUCGGGGGUGAAAGCCUGUGGCUCAACCACAGAAUUGCCUUCGAUACUGUAGAGCUUGAGACCGGAAGAGGUAAGUGGAACUGCGAGUGUAGAGGUGAAAUUCGUAGAUAUUCGCAAGAACACCAGUGGCGAAGGCGGCUUACUGGUCCGGUUCUGACGCUGAGGCGCGAAAGCGUGGGGAGCAAACAGG
rnacentral:rRNA from 1 species